UACAGAGGUCUCAAGCGUUGUUCGGAUUCAUUGGGCGUAAAGGGUGCGUAGGUGGCGCGGUAAGUCGGGUGUGAAAUUUCGGAGCUCAACUCCGAAACUGCAUUCGAUACUGCCGUGCUUGAGGACUGGAGAGGAGACUGGAAUUUACGGUGUAGCGGUGAAAUGCGUAGAUAUCGUAAGGAAGACCAGUGGCGAAGGCGGGUCUCUGGACAGUUCCUGACGCUGAGGCACGAAGGUCAGGGGAGCAAACGGG
rnacentral:rRNA from 1 species